AGAGCGAACGCUGGCGGCAGGCCUAAUACAUGCAAGUCGAACGGAUCCUUCGGGAUUAGUGGCGGACGGGUGAGUAACACGUGGGAACGUACCCUUUGGUUCGGAACAACUCAGGGAAACUUGAGCUAAUACCGAAUGUGCCCUUCGGGGAAAAGAUUUAUCGCCAUUGGAGCGGCCCGCGUCUGAUUAGCUAGUUGGUAGGGUAAAGGCCUACCAAGGCUACGAUCAGUAGCUGGUCUGAGAGGAUGAUCAGCCACACUGGGACUGAGACACGGCCCAGACUCCUACGGGAGGCAGCAGUAGGGAAUCUUGCGCAAUGGGCGAAAGCCUGACGCAGCCAUGCCGCGUGAAUGAUGAAGGUCUUAGGAUUGUAAAAAUUCUUUCAGCGGGGACGAUAAUGACGGUACCGCAGAAGAAGCCCGGCUAACUUCGCGCCAGCAGCCGC
rnacentral:rRNA from 1 species